rnacentral:rRNA from 1 species
ACUCAAAUGAAUAGACGGGGAGGCACACAACCAGUGGAACAUGUGGUUCAAUUUGAUACGAACCAAAGAACCUCACCAGGGUUUGAAAUCCAAGCGUUCUAUUUCCUGGAAACAGGAGAAAUGCGCAAGCAGGCUUGGACAGGUGCUGCAUGGCUGUCGUCAGUUCGUUCCGUGAGGAGUGCCCUUAAGUGGGACAACGAACGCAACCCCUAUCUUGUGUUAAAAAUGUCACAAGAAACUGCCCUGACUUAGUCGGGGAGGAAGGAGGGGCAGACGUCAAGUCAGCAUGGUCCUUAUAUCCUGGGCUACACACAUGUUACAAUGGGAAGAGCAAAGGGUCCUGCCAGUCGGCAACGACGAGCAAAUCCCGGAAACCUUCCCUCAGUAGGGAUUGAGGUCUGAAACUCGACCUCAUGAACGUGGAAUUGGUAGUAAUCGUGGGUCAGCUACACCACGGUGAAUACGUUCUUGCCUCUUGCACACACCGCCCGU